GUCACGUAGCUAGUACCAGGUUGCAAUACUAGAGCGUUAGUCCUGGGGCGU
rfam:Carrot mottle mimic umbravirus (CMoMV) dsRNA1, complete genome